GCCUCUAGUAUAAAAUAAAUAUCAAAAAUAUGUCUUUGUUUUACUAUGAUUGCAAAUAUCAAAAAAUUUCUAUGUGUGACACGGCACCAGAGUUAAGUUGGGGUUUUUCAAAAUGCUGACACACUGAGCUCAAAAGGUUCGCCACCACUGCUCUAUCCACUGAGCCACACCAGCCAGGGCUCAUCACCUUUUCUCUUUUUUUUUUUUCAAAUGAGUUAAAUGCUUUUAUUUUUUUAAUUCUUUCUUCCUUGAUUAAGGUGUUACAUAUGUGUCCUUACCCCUCCCCAUUGCCCCCCACACCCCUCGUCACCUUUUCUUACGUCUGGUGGAUGGUACUUAUACACCAAGUGUGAUUGACAUGGGGUUUUCCCCUGCUAGCCACAUGACCUUACGGCAUGACUGUAUAUUCUACCCUCUUUAAUGUGCUUUAUUUUCUGUUUCCCCCUUCACCUGAAGUGUUGUGUGUCCGUCAUUUCUCAUUCUGUUUGCACUGCCGACAAGAAUUAAAUUAACGCGACCUGCUCUCCCCCCAGGUCCCGCGGGACCCCAGGGCUCUCAGCCGGAGCAGCGAUGGACCCCGCGCGGGGCCCCGUGACCUUCGAAAACGUGGCCGUGUUCUUCUCCCUGGAGGAGUGGGGGCUUCUGGAUGAGGCUCAGCGGGUGCUGUACUGCGACGUGAUGCUGGAGGUCUGCACACUGGUUGCCUCGCUGGGUUGGCAUAGGGCAGAGGAUAAAGACGCAGCCUCUGAGCAGAAUGUUGCUGAAACGUCACAGAGAAACACUCCAAAGGCAGGUCUAUCCACGCAGGAGGCCGACCCCUGGGAGACGUGUGGCCUGGCCUCAGAAGGCGGUUCACCCCUGACUGACAGCCUCGGGGAAACUGAGCAGGAACUGCCUGGGGCACCUGGGAAAGGUCGCCAGCUCCAGCACAGAGGAGAGGAACUCUCCAGAAGGAACACAGACCGGGCCUCCUGCGGGAAGAGCUGCACAGCCCGCGCCUCAGAGGAGCCGUUCACGUGCUGGGAGGCUGGGAGGGGCUCCCCCACCAACUCCCGCUUCUACCCACUCACGCACGGCGAGCGUGCGGAGGCCUUUCGCCCGGGACGAAAGCACUAUGAGUGCAGUGACUGUGGGAAAGGCUUCUGCCAAAAGGACAGACUUGCUCAGCACCAGAGAAUUCACAGUGGAAAGAGGCCGUACAAGUGCAGCGAGUGUGGGAAAAGCUUCAGCUACAAACACACGCUUGUUCGGCACCAGCGGACUCACACGGGAGAGAGGCCGUACAAGUGCAGCGAGUGCGGGAAAACCUUCAGCUACAAACACACGCUUGUUGGGCACCAGCGAGUUCACACGGGAGAGAGGCCGUAUCAGUGCAGCGAGUGUGGGAAAUUUUUCAGCCAUAGCUGCAGCCUUAGUGAGCAUCAGAGAAUCCACACUGGGUCACGGCCUUAUAAAUGCUGCGACUGUGGAAAAUUCUUUACCUCCAGCUCCAACCUCGUAAAACACCAGAGAGUUCACACAGGAAGGAGGCCUUACGAGUGCAGUGACUGUGGGAAAUGUUUUACCCAGAGUCCCAGCCUUAUUAUACAUCAGAGGAUCCACACUGGUGAGAGGCCCUAUGAGUGCACCGAGUGUGGCAAGGUGUUUAGCCAAAGUUCCACCCUCAGCAAGCACCAGAGAGUUCACACAGGAGCCAGGUCUUACAGGUGCAGCGAGUGUGGAGAGUUCUUCAGCCAAAGCACCCAACUGGCCCGGCAUCGGAAAGGCCACAUCAGAGACAGGCCCCAGGGGUGCAGCAGGUGUGGGUAGGUCUUCCUGCAGGAUCCACUCUUACUCAGCACCAGGAACUUCACGUCCCAGGCAGACUGUGGCUGCCGCUAAUGUGGGAAAGUCUUCAGCUGGAAGUCUAACCUCGCUCAGCAUCAGAAAUGUCACAGUGGAGAAGGGCCUGGGCAUGAGAUGGGAUAGCAGGGAGUGAGCUCUCUGUCACACGACAUAUGAAAAAUUGAAAAAACCCUGUAGCUACAACCUUGCUUUUGACCCCUGAGCCACAGCUGACAACACAGUUCUUCAGGCUGGCAUUGGGCACCUUCAGAGAGGCCCCCGGCGGGGCUCGGGCAAGACAGGCAGGUACCACGGGGGAGCGAGGCAGCAGCUGACAUGUUUUCUUUUUUUAAAAAUAUAUUUUAUUGAUUUUUUAUAGAGAGGAAGGGAGAGGGAUGGAGAGUUAGAAACAUCGAUGAGAGAGAAACAUCGAUCAGCUGCCUCCUGCACAUCCCCUACUGGGGAUGUGCCCGCAACCAAGGUACAUGCCCUUGACUGGAAUCGAACCUGGGACCCUUCAUUCGCAGGCCGAUGCUCUAUCUGCUGAGCCACACCGGUUAGGGCUGCAGCUCCCUUUAUACGGGGAAUCCUGGUCGGGAGGAUGGUGGUGGCAGCAGCUCAGGAAGAGGAGGCUGAGCCCGAGGCCCGGGUUUCCUGUGCGGGCCUCCGAUUGUGGGAGGUGGGUGUCACACAGGUGACCGACGAGGCGGCCAUGUGGAGGGGGGCGGGGAGACUCCGGUUGGGUAGAGGUCACGGCCUCCGCGGGGUGAGUGGCCAUGAGAUGGGUGGAGCAGAGCAGCAGCUCACACAGGAUGACGGGGGCUGGUCCGCAGUCACGGCCCUAGAGCCUCCCCAGGACGUCGCUGUGCCCCUUGGUGUGGGGGGGAGUGGCACGCGGCCGGCACCAUGGCCCAGCUGCACACGUGGAGACUCACUGGGCACAGGCUGGAGGGCCACUGCGGCUGGGCCUGGUGUGGGCUGAGGAGAGGGAAGGCUGUGACUGUGAAGGGACAGGAGGUGCAGCACCAGUGGGGGAGGCUGUGGGCACCUGAGAGCCGAUGUGACGGGAACAAGGAACCGUCAGGAGGGAGGCCCUCGGGGCAGGACUCCGGCCGCCUCUGUGAUGUGGACCAUCAGAGCCCGGGCAGUGCUCGAUCCUCUUAGAAUUUUCCGACCGUUCUCCGGACCCUAAUCUGCUGAGCAGCGGAGAGAGAGGCCAAGGAGAUGAUGGUGCCUCACAGGAGGCG